CUUCCGCCCCACGUGCGCUUCCGCCACCGGUGCGGAAGAGUGUCAGGGUAGUGGAGCGGGGUGUAGGCGAGAAGCUCCCGAGUUACGGAUAGGCCGAGGCCUCCUAGUAGUCCUGCCUCCUUCUCACACCCGGGAAGAGGGCGGUUCAUAUCUCACCUCGCCCGGAGCCGACUGGUUUAGCCCCGCCUUUUCCGUCCCGUUAUAUAAAGCGGUUGGCUACCCUGCUGUCAGUCAGAUGCAACCAGAGCGGCUUGAGAAGGGCUCUGGGUUUGUUUUGCUGGGCGGCUUUAUGUCAGCUUGGCUGUCAGCUGCAAGAGUGCUUUGAACUUUUAGGUGGAAAAUGCCGGAAAGUAACUUCACAGAGUGGAGCGACAUUAGCGCGGUGCAGGUGGCCGCCGGGUACCCAAGCGUUGUCUUGGAGACAGGAGAUCGUGGGGCGGUGUGGGUGGAGGCUUACAGGGGUUUCCUUUUCGCCUCCCCUAGGUAGGGGAGGAAGCGGCGACGUGGGUGGGACCGGGAGUUUAUUCCCUGUUCUCUUGCCCGCAGGAUGUGGAAUUCGUGUUUGGCGUCCUAGGCAUCCCCCUUGUAUCCCAGGAGCUGGACAUCAGUGGGGAGAACCUUCUGUUCUUUUAUGGAGAGAAGAUGAAGUGAUUGAUAUAUUAAUACGAGCUAUACUUUACUGUUUUUCUGGAAGUGAGUUUACCUGCCACUGCUGUCUUCAUACAGAAAACAUUUAUUGA
rnacentral:lncRNA from 1 species